GGUAAGAUGGCUGAGCGCUUAAGUGGUGGGCCGUAGCCCCAUUGAGAGAGGUUCAACUCCUCUUCUUACCA
rnacentral:tRNA from 1 species